AAAGGACAUUAUUCAACAUCUUGCUAGUUUGAUUUCAGAAAUGGUCGUGCAUACAAGGAAAAUGAAGACGGCAAGGGCCUGGGGACUGAAAUCCAGACUGUGCGUCAAGUGGGCUGCGAGUUUGGUUUGCUGACAAGGGGACAAAUCUGGGGUGUUCCUUUUGAGACAAAAGAAUCUCACUGGGCUUGGGGGAGAGGUGGCUUUCUGAGUUCAGGUCUGACCCUGUCCGGGGAAGUCUGCAAGGGGUCUGUGAGGAGUGAGAAAGGCUGCCUGGCUGCUUCCUGAGCUUUGACUGGGCUUGUGUAUCUGUGGCCAUCUGCAAAAUGAAAGUGGGGAGUGAGGAAGGCAGGAAGGGGAAGAAGAACCCUAAAUAUGAGGGCCUGUGUGGGUUUUUACUUUUUAAAAAUAGCAUUUCUUUUACCACAAUGGCACAGGAACUUGUAAACAGGAAUCCUCAGCAAUAGUAAACAAAUUAGUCUAAGUUCUUUUAUCUGAGAAGUAAGUAGAGCAAGUCUCUUCCUUUCUUUCUCUUUCUGCAAAACAAAAAUUUCCCCUCCACUUAAAGCCUUCUUUGCUGGCAGCAAGGAGUGCAUGGAUUCUUCUGAUCUUUCCCUGCAUCUUACUGAGCUAUAGGUUUCCUUUGACCGUCAGGAGCCCACCGAUAGCCUCGAUGUUCCAAAUGUCGGCUCUGGUGAGAUGAAAGGAAGCAGGCAACUGAUGAAGGAGGAGAUGGACUAUCGUUUUGAGAAAUGAGCCAAAAGAAUGAUUGGUCACUAUGUUUUAAUUGUUGAUAAACCAGUCAUCUUAAACAUUGGGCCAUGUUUUGUGGGCUGAAGUUUCCAUUUCAAUGGAUUCAACUGACAGGCUUCGGCUGAGCUGCCUCUGUGAAAGCCAGGUGCUUCCCCAGGUGCUGAGGCCACAGGAGAGAGCGGGCACUCUAAGGCCGUGCCGCUGCGGCAUUGUAUUCUGGUGGGAGAGCUACGGAGGGAUUUUGUAAAGCAUUUCGGGGAGGCCAGACUGUGUGGUGGUGAGAUGCUUCUCUGCACGGUGGGCCUGCAUAGGAAGGUUCCAGAGGUGCCUCGAGACUCCCUGCGUGUGUGUUGUGCCACUGGUCCAGGCUGGCUUGAACCGGGGCUGGAUCACUCUGCUGGACCAGGAAACCUUUGCCCAUCUAGAAUCUUAGGAAAGGGAAAGCAGGAGAGAGAGGAAAGAGAAGGAGCUCUUCACAGGCAACUGAGGUGAUGUGGUGCUUUAUAGGCGAGAAGAACCAAGUCUGUCCACUCGCCCCUGGACCCUGGGCCAGGCAGGGCAGCAGGGAGCCGGAGAGAGGGAUACUGCAGGCCACCUGGAAGAACUCUAAUAUUUGAUCUGAGACCUGAAAGCAAAAGGGAGGAGCCACAGUACCACAGGAAGAAAUGGUCCAAGCAGACAGAUUCAAGGCCUAGGCUGGUUUGAGCCUCUUGAGUAGCAGAGAAAGGAAGAAGCCAGCGAAACAGCCAAGAGGGAGCCAGACACGGCACAGCACACAGCCUGUCCACGUGGGAAGGUUCCUGGUGGGUGUCCCAGGGCAUCCAUGUACGUGGCACCUCAUGUUUCUGAUCCUGACUGCUGGAGGUUGGAGAUGGAUUAUGGCAUGAAGACCCUGUUGAAAGUGCCCCCCCCACACACACACACCUC